GACGAACGCUGGCGGCGUGCUUAACACAUGCAAGUCGAACGGAAAGGCCCUGCUUUUGUGGGGUGCUCGAGUGGCGAACGGGUGAGUAACACGUGAGUAACCUGCCCCUGACUUUGGGAUAACUUCAGGAAACUGGGGCUAAUACCGGAUAGGAGCUCCUGCUGCAUGGUGGGGGUUGGAAAGUUUCGGCGGUUGGGGAUGGACUCGCGGCUUAUCAGCUUGUUGGUGGGGUAGUGGCUUACCAAGGCUUUGACGGGUAGCCGGCCUGAGAGGGUGACCGGCCACAUUGGGACUGAGAUACGGCCCAGACGCCUACGGGAGGCAGCAGUGGGGAAUAUUGCACAAUGGGCGGAAGCCUGAUGCAGCAGCGCCGCGUGCGGGAUGACGGCCUUCGGGUUGUAAACCGCUUUCGCCUGUGACGAAGCGUGAGUGACGGUAAUGGGUAAAGAAGCACCGGCUAACUACGUG
rnacentral:rRNA from 1 species